rnacentral:rRNA from 1 species
AAGGCCUUAACUUUCUUGUUUGUGCUUGCAGUUCUUGCACCAGACCAGUCAGAAGGGCGCCAUCAUCAACCUGAUUGUCUUUCUUUCUCAUGCGGCCCUUUCAGAAACAUAUCAUCUCCAUUUCGUCAGGCAAGUGAUCCACCUGGGUGCGGCUAUCAAUCUUAUGAGCUGGUUUGCGGUGAUACAAAGGCUACAAUUCACAUCGACAACGUGACAUACUAUGUCUCUGCCAUCAACGACAGUGGUUCUUACUUCUGGGUAGUCGAUGCCGACAUGGAUUUAUACAGCAGCUGCCCUCUACCUCGAUGGAAUCGGCCUCCCUCUUCCUUCCGGGUAGUCGAUGACGACAUGGAAGUCGAAUUGGACCCCCUUUCACGUAGGCAGUCUUGCUUUCUUAAAUGUUCUCGGCAAGUAAAGGACAAUGGUAUGUACAUGCCUGUUGCUUGCCUUAGCAGUAAUGAUACUUAUGUUUACGUGUUAACUGGUUAUGGAUAUUGUUCUAUGGAGUAUCUCGAGCCUUCUUGUGGGUACCUGGCCAUGGCUCCUUGGCCUUGUCACAGUCCAUUUUGUUGGGACUACGAGCCGCUCGAAAAUGCAAGUUAUGUAGAUGUUGUGAAAUCCAUGAGGAUUGGAUUUGCCAUUAAAUUCCCUUUCAGGAAGAGCAGAAGCAUCAAAGAGUGCCUAAUACUCCAGUUUCGCGACUUGUCACAAGUGUGUAGUGAAGACGCCAGCAGUUGUGUUCAGCAAAUUCUUAUGGUCGAUGGAUAUUUCUGGUACUGCUCACUGCGUGCAACUGGAUUUGGUGAUUAUGCCUCAUCAGUCAUACCAUUCAUCUUCUGGUCUGUCAAGUGGAUUGCUGUGCUAUGCAGAUUUGUGUUGGCACCACUGGUUGCAUUGAUCUUCCUCGCCCACAAGUAUUGGAAAACGAGGAUCACAAUCGAUGCUGUCGAGAAGUUCCUCCGAAUACAACAAAUGCUAGGUCCAAUGACGUAUGCCUACACUGACAUCACAUCAAUAACAAGCCAUUUCAGAGAUAAGCUGGGUCAGGGAGGCUACGGGUCUGUGUUCAAGGGUGUGCUAUUGCCGGGCAAUGUUCAUGUUGCUGUCAAGAUGCUAGAGGGCAAUCCUAACUGCAAUGGAGAAGAUUUCAUCAAUGAAGUCUCCACCAUCGGUAGGAUCGAUCACGUAAAUGUGGUGCGUCUCAUGGGAUUCUUCUCAGAGGAAAUGAGGAGAGCACUGGUUUACGAGUACAUGCCUCAAGGUUCUCUGGACAAGUACAUCUUCUCAGCUAAGAAGAGUUUCUCCUGGGACAAGCUCGCCGAGAUAGCUUUGGGCAUUGCCAGGGGGAUCGACUACCUUCAUCAGGGUUGUGACAUGCAGAUUCUGCACUUCGACAUCAAGCCACACAACAUCCUUCUCGACAACAAUUUUGUCCCCAAAGUUGCUGAUUUUGGCCUCGCCAAACUAUACCCAAGGGACAAGAGUUUUGUGCCAUCAAGAGCCCUACGUGGAACUAUUGGGUACAUAGCUCCUGAGAUGAUAUCACGGAGCUUUGGCAUCAUAUCGAGCAAGUCUGAUGUUUACAGCUUUGGGAUGAUGCUUCUGGAGAUGGCUGGAGGAAGAAGGAACGCCAAUCCGAACACAGCAAAUUCGAGCCAAGCGUACUAUCCGUCAUGGGUAUAUGACCGGCUAACUCAACAAGACCAUGUGGGUGAGAUUUCUGCUCAUGUUGAUACUGAGAUUCAUGAGUUGGAGAGGAAGUUGUGCAUCAUCGGACUAUGGUGCAUCCAGAUGAAAUCUCAUGAUAGGCCGACGAUGAGCGAGGUUAUAGAGAUGCCGGAAGGAGGCGUCGGUACCUUGCAGAUGCCCUCGAGGCCGUUCUUCUAUGACGAAGGGUAUGUUCAUACCGAGGAUACUUACCAUUUGUCGUCCGAGCUAACUGAAAUCUCGGAGGACAUGAGUGAAAAUAUUGAUGUGUGA